rnacentral:rRNA from 1 species
ACGAACGCUGGCGGCGUGCUUAACACAUGCAAGUCGAACGAAGCUUGAUUACGGAUUCUUCGGAUGAAGUAUGAUAUGACUGAGUGGCGGACGGGUGAGUAACGCGUGAGUAACCUGCCCUUCAGAGGGGGAUAGCGUUUGGAAACGAACGGUAAUACCGCAUAAUGUAUUUUGACCGCAUGAUCGAAAUACCAAAGAUUUAUCGCUGAAGGAUGGACUCGCGUCUGAUUAGGUAGUUGGUGGGGUAACGGCCUACCAAGCCGACGAUCAGUAGCCGGACUGAGAGGUUGAUCGGCCACAUUGGGACUGAGACACGGCCCAGACUCCUACGGGAGGCAGCAGUGGGGAAUAUUGCACAAUGGGCGCAAGCCUGAUGCAGCAACGCCGCGUGAAGGAAGACGGUUUUCGGAUUGUAAACUUCUGUUCUUAGUGAAGAAUAAUGACGGUAGCUAAGGAGCAAGCCACGGCUAACUACGUGCCAGCAGCCGCGGUAAUACGUAGGUGGCAAGCGUUGUCCGGAAUUACUGGGUGUAAAGGGAGCGCAGGCGGGUGAUCAAGUCAGCUGUGAAAACUACGGGCUUAACCCGUAGACUGCAGUUGAAACUGUUCAUCUUGAGUGAAGUAGAGGUUGGCGGAAUUCCGAGUGUAGCGGUGAAAUGCGUAGAUAUUCGGAGGAACACCGGUGGCGAAGGCGGCCAACUGGGCUUUAACUGACGCUGAGGCUCGAAAGUGUGGGGAGCAAACAGGAUUAGAUACCCUGGUAGUCCACACUGUAAUCUAUGAUUGCUACGUGUGGGGGGUCUGACCCCUCCAGUGCCGGAUCUAACUCAAUAAGCAAUCCACCUGGGGAGUACGACCGCAAGGUUGAAACUCAAAGGAAUUGACGGGGGCCCGCACAAGCAGUGGAGUAUGUGGUUUAAUUCGACGCAACGCGAAGAACCUUACCAAGUCUUGACAUCCCGGUGACAGAGUAUGUAAUGUACUUUCUCUUCGGAGCAUCGGUGACAGGUGGUGCAUGGUUGUCGUCAGCUCGUGUCGUGAGAUGUUGGGUUAAGUCCCGCAACGAGCGCAACCCUUGCUAUUAGUUGCUACGCAAGAGCACUCUAAUAGGACUGCCGUUGACAAAACGGAGGAAGGUGGGGACGACGUCAAAUCAUCAUGCCCCUUAUGUGCUGGGCUACACACGUAAUACAAUGGCCAUCAACAGAGAGAAGCAAUACCGCGAGGUGGAGCAAAACUUCAAAAAUGGUCUCAGUUCGGACUGCAGGCUGCAACCCGCCUGCACGAAGUUGGAAUUGCUAGUAAUCGUGGAUCAGCAUGCCACGGUGAAUACGUUCCCGGGCCUUGUACACACCGCCCGUCACACCAUGAGAGCCGGGGGGACCCGAAGUCGGUAGUCUAACCGCAAGGAGGACGCCGCCGAAGGUAAAACUGGUGAUUGGGGUG